rnacentral:rRNA from 1 species
AAGAAAUUUAAUAAUUUUGAUAUUGGAUUUUUUUGUUUUGGCAAGAGCGUGAGAGCUUUUACUGGGCAAGAAGACAAGAGAUGGAGAGUCCAGCCGGGCCUGCGCUUAAGUGCGCGGUCUUGCUAGGCUUGCAAAUUUCUUUCUUGCUAUUCCAAACAGUGAGACUUCUCUGUUUUUGUUAUAGGACAAUUAAAACCGUUUCAAUACAACACACUGUGGAGUUUUUAUACUUUUGCAACUUUUUCUUUGGGCUUCGAGCAAUCGAGCCCAGAGGUAACAAACACAAACAAUUUUAUUUAUUCAUUAAAUUUUUGUCAAAAACAAGAAUUUUCGUAACUGGAAAUUUUAAAAAUAAUUAA